rnacentral:lncRNA from 1 species
GAUGGUGCAGCGGGACGCACUCGGGACUUCCGUGUGCGGGGGGUCCUGUGGUCGGGCUGUCCUUGUCCCGGGCUGGUCCUCCAACCCCUGCUCCUGCAGGGCUUCUGCUUUCGGAUUCUGUUUCGGGGGGGCGUGCACCUGCACUUCAGACGGCGUGGCCCUGGAUCGGGAGAUUGGGUGUAUCUGCCGUGUAGGUUUUGACCAUGGGUAUACUAUACAUUUUUUGGAUAAUAUACACCAAACAGUGAAAGCUAAACUGCAGGACGCAUCCCAGGGCGACCAUCAGCAAAGAGCCCAGCUAAA